AGUGAACGCUGGCGGUAGGCCUAACACAUGCAAGUCGAACGGCAGCACAGUAAGAGCUUGCUCUUACGGGUGGCGAGUGGCGGACGGGUGAGGAAUACAUCGGAAUCUACUUUUUCGUGGGGGAUAACGUAGGGAAACUUACGCUAAUACCGCAUACGACCUACGGGUGAAAGCAGGGGAUCUUCGGACCUUGCGCGAUUGAAUGAGCCGAUGUCGGAUUAGCUAGUUGGCGGGGUAAAGGCCCACCAAGGCGACGAUCCGUAGCUGGUCUGAGAGGAUGAUCAGCCACACUGGAACUGAGACACGGUCCAGACUCCUACGGGAGGCAGCAGUGGGGAAGAUUGGACAAUGGGCGCAAGCCUGAUCCAGCCAUACCGCGUGGGGGAAGAAGGCCGUCGGGUUGUAAAGCCCUUUUGUUGGGAAAGAAAAGCAGCAGGUUAAUACCCCGCUGUUCUGACGGUACCCAAAGAAUAAGCACCGGCUAACUUCGUGC
rnacentral:rRNA from 1 species